rfam:Clostridium botulinum B1 str. Okra, complete genome.
UAGCCUACAUAUUGAUAUGUAGCUGAACUAUCAGAAGUCAGCAAAAGCCAUAGUACUACGUGAAUACGCGUUAGUGUGGAAAGGAC